rnacentral:rRNA from 1 species
UACGAAGGGGGCUAGCGUUGUUCGGAAUUACUGGGCGUAAAGGGUGCGUAGGCGGCUUUCUAAGUUGGAUGUGAAAACUCUGGGCUCAACCCAGAGACUGCAUCCAAAGCUGGAGAGCUUGGGUUCUGGAGGGGAAAGCGGAAUUCCUGGUGUAGCGGUGAAAUGCGUAGAUAUCAGGAGGAACACCGGUGGCGAAGGCGGCUUUCUGGACAGAUACCGACGCUGAGGCACGAAAGCGUGGGGAGCAAACAGG